rnacentral:ncRNA from 1 species
CAACCCGGAUCGAGAGGUUCGGUUGAACCGGCAGGAGUCAGCAGAGGGCAUAGUACCCAGGAGGUCAUGAACUCCGGGAAGGCC